UCCCUCUUAGCUCAGUGGUAGAGCGCGUCACUAGUAUAAGCAGUUCCACAGAUUAUGACGAGGUCAGUCGUUCAAGUCGGCUAGAGGGAA